AGUGAACGCUGGCGGCAGGCCUAACACAUGCAAGUCGAACGGCAGCACAAGAGAGCUUGCUCUCUGGGUGGCGAGUGGCGGACGGGUGAGGAAUGCAUCGGAAUCUGCCCAUUUGUGGGGGAUAACCUCGGGAAAUCGGGACUAAUACCGCAUACGACCUACGGGUGAAAGCAGGGGAUCUUCGGACCUUGCGCAGAUGGAUGAGCCGAUGCCGGAUUAGCUAGUUGGAGGGGUAAAGGCCCACCAAGGCGACGAUCCGUAGCUGGUCUGAGAGGAUGAUCAGCCACACUGGGACUGAGACGCGGCCCAGACUCCUACGGGAGGCAGCAGUGGGGAAUAUUGGACAAUGGGCGCAAGCCUGAUCCAGCCAUGCCGCGUGUGUGAAGAAGGCCUUCGGGUUGUAAAGCACUUUUGUUGGGAAAGAAAAGCAGCCGGUUAAUACCCGGUUGUCAUGACGGUACCCAAAGAAUAAGCACCGGCUAACUUCGUG
rnacentral:rRNA from 1 species